ACUUGCUGAUUUUGGUGUUGCAACUAAAUUAACGGAGGCAGAUGUUAAUACGCAUUCAGUUGUUGGAACACCAUACUGGAUGGCACCUGAGGUGAUUGAAAUGUCAGGAGUAUGUGCUGCGUCUGACAUCUGGAGUGUUGGCUGUACAGUUAUAGAACUGCUUACUUGUUUACCUCCGUACUAUGAUCUUCAGCCCAUGCCUGCUCUCUUUCGGAUUGUGCAGGAUGAUCAUCCCCCAAUUCCAGAUAGCCUCUCUCCUGCUAUCACUGAUUUUCUCCGCCAGUGUUUUAAGAAGGAUGCUAGACAAAGGCCUGAUGCUAAGACACUGCUUUCACAUCCUUGGAUACAAAAUUCAAGGCGUGCUUUGCAGUCCUCACUCCGUCAUAGUGGGACAAUAAGAGAUAUAGAAGAAGACGGAUCGGCUAUCAGAGAGGCAUCAAAUGAAGAGGACAAGGGUGCUGCUGGAAGCUCUUCUUCUGACAAAGCAAAAGAGUCUAGCACAACAUUGGCAUCACCAGAAGUCCUGGAGACUAGCAAGUCGGAAGAGGUUGAUGGUUCAAGUAGUAUUCGUAUAGAAGGAAGAACUGAUAAGAUUGAAGAUCAAUUUAUGUCAGAUCCAGUUCCAACUUUAGCAAUUCAUGAGAAGUCUCCUAUUCAAAACAAUACUGAUGGAUUAGCUGUGAAUAAGGAAUCAGCACUUCAAAGUUCAACAGACUUGAGUGAGCCUGAUAAAGUUUUUGCAAAUGGUGAGCUUGAAUCUAGUGAAUCCAGGGGUCGGAACACUGUAGGUAGGAAGGUUGAAGAUAAAGGACAUGGCGUCAAUGCAUAUUCUGCAUCAUCCAGUUCUGGACAAAAGAACACAGAUUAUAGUCCUAGAAAGGCUGUGAAGACAUCAGUUGUUCCGCAAGGAAAUGAACUGAGCAGAUUCAGUGACCCCCCUGGUGAUGCUUCCUUGGAUGACCUGUUUCAUCCAUUGGAGAAGAACCUGGAGAAUCGCGCUGCUGAGGUGUCUCUCUCUGCAUCAUCUUCACAAAUUGCUCAAAAUAAUGCAAUUGCCGAAACUGGAAAGAACGAUUUGGCAACAAAGUUGAGAGCCACAAUUGCUAAGAAACAAAUGGAAAGUGAAUCAGGACCACCAAAUGGUGGUGAUUUACUCAGUAUCAUGAUGGGUGUGUUGAAGGAGGAUGUAAUAGACAUGGAUGGUUUAGGCUUUGAUGAUAAACUACCGACAGAAAAUUUGUUUCACCUUCAGGCUGUAGAAUUCAGCAAGUUAGUAUCAUCUUUAAGAACAGAUGAAUCAGAAGAUGUUAUUGUAUCAGCUUGUCAGAAGUUGAUUGCUUUCUUCCAUCAGCGGCCGGACCAGAAACUUGUUUUUGUCACCCAGCAUGGUUUGCUUCCUCUGAUGGAGUUACUUGAGGUUCCCAAAACUCGUGUCAUGUGUUCAGUGCUGCAGGUACUGAACCUGAUUGUUCAAGAUAACACAGAUUCCCAAGAAAAUGCUUGUCUCGUUGGCCUUAUCCCUGUUGUGAUGAGUUUUGCUGCGCCUGAUCGUCCCCGAGAAAUUCGUAUGGAAGCAGCUUACUUCUUUCAGCAGCUAUGUCAGUCGAGUCCCUUGACGCUGCAAAUGUUUAUUGCUAAUCGUGGAAUACCUGUUCUUGUGGGAUUUUUAGAAGCUGACUAUGCCAAAUAUAGGGAAAUGGUUCACAUGGCUAUAGAUGGCAUGUGGCAGGUGUUUAAGCUUCAGCGGUCUACCUCUAGAAAUGAUUUUUGCCGUAUAGCUGCUAAAAAUGGAAUUCUGCUGAGGCUCAUCAACACUCUUUACAGCUUGAAUGAAGCAGCUCGUUUAGCUUCUGCAUCUGGUGGAGGUGGGUUCCCACCUGAUGGAUUGGCUCCCCGACCACGGUCUGGGCCACUGGACCAUGGGAAUUCUUCAUUUAUGCAGACUGAAGUGCCCCCUUAUGGAACUGAUCAGCCAGAUAUGCUUAAAAUUAAGAAUGGAGAUCGUGUUUUGCCAUCUGGAAUUCCGGAACCUUCACGUAAUUCAGCUUCACAUUCACCAGAUUCUCCGUUUUUUCGACAAGAUGGUGAGAGACCUCGGUCAAGUAAUGCUACAGUGGAAGCUUCUGGUCUGUCAAGAUUGCCAGAUGGAAAUUUAGUAACAAAAGAUCGGGAAAGCUUAGACAGAUACAAAAAUGAUCUCUUUCGAGCUGAGAUUGACCUUAGACAGCAAAGAGGUGGCAAUACAAGUAGAAUAUCAACUGAUAAGGGAUCAAAACAGAUGGAAGGGGCAUCAUAUGGGUUUCCUGCUUCAACAGCUUCUCAGCAAGAGAAUGUUCGGCCCCUUCUUAGUUUGUUGGAGAAGGAGCCCCCAUCUCGCCAUUUCUCGGGUCAGCUUGAAUAUCACAAUCUUCCUGGACUGGAGAAGCAUGAAAGUAUACUCCCUCUUCUGCAUGCAUCUAAUGAAAAGAAAACCAACGGAUUGGAUUUUUUGAUGGCUGAAUUUGCAGAGGUUUCUGGACGUGGAAGGGAAAAUACUAACCUGGAGUCAUUACCAAGAAGUCCACAUAAAGCUGCCACUAAGAAAGUUGGAGGGGCAGCUUCUACUGAUGGAAUUGCUUCAACUUCUGGAUUUGCAUCACAGACUGCAUCAGGUGUAUUGUCCGGUUCUGGAGUGUUAAAUGCUAGACCAGGAAGUGCAGCAUCAUCUGGAAUACUUUCACACGUUGCUCCCCCCUGGAAUGCUGAUGUUGCAAGGGAAUACUUGGAAAAGGUGGCAGACCUUCUGC
rnacentral:misc_RNA from 1 species